rnacentral:ncRNA from 2 species
UAAUGUCGCAAGUGCCGCAGUGAACGGGAAUGCUGGUGAGAAUCCAGCAGCGGCCCUCGCCACUGUAUGUUCAUGUAACUUCAUAAACCCCAGCCUGCAUGCCACUGUCACCUGACGCACCGAUGGGAAGGCGUGCAGUACCCCCAGGGGAAAGUGAGCAAAGCCAGGAGACCGGCUGCGGUGAGUCACAACCA